rnacentral:rRNA from 1 species
CCUACGGGUGGCAGCAGUGAGGAAUAUUGGUCAAUGGGCGCUAGCCUGAACCAGCCAAGUAGCGUGAAGGAUGACUGCCCUAUGGGUUGUAAACUUCUUUUAUAUGGGAAUAAAGUGCAGUAUGUAUACUGCUUUGCAUGUACCUUAUGAAUAAGGAUCGGCUAACUACGUGCAAGCAACAGCGGUAAUACGGAGGAUCCGAGCUUUAACCUGAUUUAUUAGGUUUAAAGGGAGCGUAGGCGGGUUGUUAAGUCAGUUGUGAAAGUUUGCGGCUCAACCGUAAAAUUGCAGUUGAUACGGGCAUCUUUGAGUACAGUAGAGGUAGGCGGAAUUCGUGGUGUAGAGGUGAAAUGCUUAGAUAUCACGAAGAACUCCGAUUGCGAAGGCAGCCUGCUGGACUGUAACUGACGCUGAUGCUCGAAAGUGUGGGUAUCAAACAGGAUUAGAUACCCGGGUAGUC